UCCCAGUGGGCUGGUCCACACCAGUGGACUUCAAAUAGGCUUUGGGUUGCUGUAUGUUAAAGGACAGCAAGAAUCACUCGACAAUUGAUUCGUUAGCGCAAUAGCAGCUAUAGAUAAAACCAGUGAAAUAAUGAAAAAACUUAAAGUAAGCAAACGACAACUCCUGGAGGAGAUCAAUGAAAAGCGUGAAUCCAACUGCUUAGUGGAAAGAAGCAAUCAAGUCAGCUUAUUGAGAGUUCAAAAGAGGCACUUCAGCUGUGCCUAUGGGUCCUGUACUCACACCACAAGCAAAGAACCUGUUCCUGACAGUGGCAGGAGCUCCUGGGUCAAACUGAGUCUCCUUGUUUACAACGAGAGAAGGCACUUUCCACCAAAAAAUAAUGCCAUCUUUGGAUAAAGCGCAUCUCCAGCAACACACGGAAAUACAUUCUCUUAGAUCCUUCUUCAAUGUCUGUCUAAAUUCUUUUCAAAUAUUAAUUAUAAAAGAAGCUAAACAAAA